rnacentral:rRNA from 1 species
UUCGGAUUGGAGUCUGCAACCCGACUCCAUGAAGCUGGAUUCGCUAGUAAUCGCGCAUCAGCCACGGCGCGGUGAAUACGUUCCCGGGCCUUGUACACACCGCCCGUCAAGCCAUGGAAGCCGGGGGUGCCUGAAGUGCGCUGCCGCAAGGAGCGCCCUAGGGUAAAACCGGUGACUGGGGCUAAGUCGUAACAAGGUAAC